GACGAACGCUGGCGGCGUGCUUAACACAUGCAAGUGGAGCGACGAACCAGGCUUCGGCCUGGGGCAGAGCUGCGAACGGGUGAGUAACACGUGGGUAACCUGCCUCGAUGACCGGGACAACCCGGGGAAACCCGGGCUAAUACCGGAUGUGCUGUCCUCACAUCAGUGAGGGUUGGAAAGGAAGCUUCGGCCUCCGCAUCGAGAUGGGCCCGCGGCCCAUUAGCUUGUCGGUGAGGUAAAGGCUCACCAAGGCUGCGAUGGGUAGCUGGUCUGAGAGGACGAUCAGCCACACUGGGACUGAGACACGGCCCAGACUCCUACGGGAGGCAGCAGUGGGGAAUCUUGCGCAAUGCGCGAAAGCGUGACGCAGCAACGCCGCGUGGGGGAAGAAGGCCUUCGGGUUGUAAACCCCUUUCAGGAGGGACGAAGGUUGGGCGGUGAAUAGCCGACCCGACUGACGGUACCUCCAGAAGAAGCCCCGGCUAACUACGUGCCAGCAGCCGCCGUAAGAC
rnacentral:rRNA from 1 species